GAGUUUGAUCAUGGCUCAGGAUGAACGCUGGCGGCGUGCUUAACACAUGCAAGUCGAACGAACCUUCGGGUUAGUGGCGGACGGGUGAGUAACGCGUGGGAAUCUGUCCUCAGGAGGGGGAUAACGGUUGGAAACGACCGCUAAUACCCCAUAUGCCGAGAGGUGAAAUGAAUUUCGCCUGAGGAUGAGCCCGCGUCUGAUUAGCUUGUUGGUGAGGUAAUGGCUCACCAAGGCAUCGAUCAGUAGCUGGUCUGAGAGGAUGAUCAGCCACACUGGGACUGAGACACGGCCCAGACUCCUACGGGAGGCAGCAGUGGGGAAUUUUCCGCAAUGGGCGAAAGCCUGACGGAGCAACGCCGCGUGAGGGACGAAGGCCUCUGGGCUGUAAACCUCUUUUCUCAAGGAAGAAGAUAUGACGGUACUUGAGGAAUAAGCCACGGCUAAUUCCGUGCCAGCAGCCGCGGUAAUACGGGAGUGGCAAGCGUUAUCCGGAAUUAUUGGGCGUAAAGCGUCCGCAGGCGGCUUUUCAAGUCUGCUGUUAAAACGUGGAGCUUAACUCCAUCAUGGCAGUGGAAACUGAUCGGCUUGAGUAUGGUAGGGGCAGAGGGAAUUCCCGGUGUAGCGGUGAAAUGCGUAGAUAUCGGGAAGAACACCAGUGGCGAAGGCGCUCUGCUGGGCCAUUACUGACGCUCAUGGACGAAAGCCAGGGGAGCGAAAGGGAUUAGAUACCCCUGUAGUCCUGGCCGUAAACGAUGAACACUAGGUGUCGGGGGAAUCGACCCCUUCGGUGUCGUAGCUAACGCGUUAAGUGUUCCGCCUGGGGAGUACGCACGCAAGUGUGAAACUCAAAGGAAUUGACGGGGGCCCGCACAAGCGGUGGAGUAUGUGGUUUAAUUCGAUGCAACGCGAAGAACCUUACCAGGGCUUGAAAUAAUUUCAAAACUUCUUGAAAGAGAAGCCUCCUUCGGGAUGGAAUUACAGGUGGUGCAUGGCUGUCGUCAGCUCGUGUUGUGAAAUGUCAAGUUAAGUCUUGUAACGAGCGCAACCCAUGUCUCUUGUUGCUGUUUACAGUGCUUAAGAGAAACUGCCGAUCAACAUCGGAGGAAGGUGUGGAUGAUGUCAAGUCAGCAUGCCCCUUACAUCCUGGGCUACACACGUACUACAAUGGUCGAGACAAAGGGUCGCUAACCUGCAAAGGCAUGCCAAUCUCAUAAACUCGAUCUCAGUUCGGAUUGUACUCUGCAACUCGAGUACAUGAAGGUGGAAUCGCUAGUAAUCGCUGGUCAGCAUACAGCGGUGAAUACGUUCCCGGGUCUUGUACACACUGCCCGUCACACCAUGGAAGUCGACCCUUCCCUAAGUCGUUACUCGAACCUGUAAAGGACGAGGACGCCGAAGGCAGAGUUGGUGACUAGGGUGAAGUCGUAACAAGGUAACC
rnacentral:rRNA from 1 species